UACAGAGGUCUCAAGCGUUGUUCGGAUUCAUUGGGCGUAAAGGGUGUGUAGGUGGCGCGCUAAGUCGGGUGUGAAAUUUCGGAGCUUAACUCCGAAACUGCACUCGAUACUGCUUUGCUUGAGGACUGGAGAGGAGAUUGGAAUUCACGGUGUAGCAGUGAAAUGCGUAGAUAUCGUGAGGAAGACCAGUGGCGAAGGCGGAUCUCUGGACAGUUCCUGACGCUGAGGCGCGAAAGCGUGGGGAGCAAACAGG
rnacentral:rRNA from 1 species